GUACUUUGGCAGCACGUAUACUAAAAUUGGAACACUUCAGAGAAGAUUAGCAUGGCCCCCGUGCAAGGAUGACACAUAAAUUUGUGAAACAUUCCAAAUUCCC
ensembl:snRNA U6 U6 spliceosomal RNA